rnacentral:lncRNA from 1 species
GAGCUGGUGGCUGCUGAGAGCAGAUGUCCUUGCUAUAAUUCCUGCCUUGCCCCACCCAAGGACAGACCUCCACAGAUAGCCCCAGGACCUCAGAGAUUUCUGGAAAGACAUUCUUUUGGCUUUGUUGCUUAGCCUCCUGUACCCUGGGUCCCCUUGACCAGAAGUUCAGUUGGGAGCAGCUUUCAGAGCUGGAAGCAUACUUCAAGGUGGAACCAUACCCAGACCUCCAGGAUCGAAAGAUCAUGGCCACCAGACUGAAACUGAAAGAGGAACAAGUUGAGGCUUGGUUCAUCCAGAGAUCCUUGGAGGAGGAGAUGCGGCCCCCCUUGGCCAGGCUGCAGCAGUCUGCCCUGGAUGGUACCUCUUCUCCUUCCCACAAAGCCCUGUGCUGCAGGCCACCAAGCUGGAAGUACAGGCUCAUUCCCAUCAAUCCCCCUGAGUCCUCGACCAGCUG